UACGGAGGGGGCUAGCGUUGUUCGGAAUUACUGGGCGUAAAGCGCACGUAGGCGGCUUUGUAAGUUAGAGGUGAAAGCCCGGGGCUCAACUCCGGAAUUGCCUUAAGACUGCAUCGCUAGAAUUGUGGAGAGGUAAGUGGAAUUCCGAGUGUAGAGGUGAAAUUCGUAGAUAUUCGGAAGAACACCAGUGGCGAAGGCGACUUACUGGACACAUAUUGACGCUGAGGUGCGAAAGCGUGGGGAGCAACAGG
rnacentral:rRNA from 1 species